GUGGGCCGGGGCUGGAGGCUAAAGAAGGCAAGUUUACUUUUGUUCAGUCUAGUUUGGACCAGGACUCGGUGCCGUACCGCCCUCCCUCCCUCUCUUCUCUGCUUUCCUAUGGUGCAAAAGUCUUCACGAGGGGGUGUGUAGGUUAUUUUUCAACAAAGCACAGAGGUAGGAGAGUCGUGGCACUCCAUACCUGACUCACAGGGAGCGGCCGGCCAGCAGGACUCGGUGCCCUGGGUCCUUCCACAUGCGCCGUUACAGCCUGGACAGCGUGGCCGUUGGGACACGGGACCCAGAGCCCACAUGGGCUGCUGUGCAGGAUUUCAGACUCGCCCACCUUCCGUUUUGUGGCGUCAAUCCUGUGCCCUGCACUUUCCUCUCCAGCGUGAUGGUGGUCACGUGGGGGAAGCCCUGUUUGUGCCUCUUAAAAUAUUCCGUGCGAGCGUGCUUCCCGUGGGCCAUCUUCCCUCUGGCCCUUUGAAUACGUGGGCUGCGCUGGGACUGCGACUCGUCUUCUGUUGUGUCAUCAGGCCCUCCGGGCUGGCUUUGUCAUCGUGGCUCCUGGGGCUUCCAUCCAUCCCAGCCCAUUACUUUAUCCGACGCCACACAGGUGUGCAGUAUGCUGACUGAACAACACGGUGACUCAGCACGUGCAUCCGUCACCCCGUGCUCAUCACGACAGGUGCAUCCGUCAUCCCCAUCACCUGUUCCCCCCUCCCCUGCCCACCUCCCCGCUGGCGAUGGUCGGUUUCUUGUCUGUAGUCAAGAGUCUAGGUUUGUGUUUGUCCCUUUUUUCUUUGUUUUGAGUCUUAAAUUCCACGUAUGAGUGAGAUCAUACGGUAUUUACCUUUCUGUGUCCAUUCAUUUUCUUUUAACACAUGUACUCACUUCCUAUCGCUUCUGAGUUUUUGUCACGAUCAGUAGUUUUGAGAACACAAAACACUGCCCGCACACAUCGGCUCUGUGGUUUGAGCUCCACGACUGUGCUGCCCGUUGCUGCCGCAGGGCCCCAGACACGCCACCUUCCUGGGGGGCUGUCUUCCCGGGAUUGCGGCUUCUCAGCCUUUCUCUGCGAGGUGUUGGAGGCAGCGCGUCGGAGGCCUGUCGGGAGCCCAGGGACCUAAUCUGGAGGAGCCUCGUCGCAGAUUCUGGCCCAUUCUCCUUCCUCGGGCGUGUAAGGUGCCGAUGUCACACACACACGUGCCGGGUGCCAUUUGGAGCUACCGUCCAGAAGAGGUGGGCACCAUCCGCCCCAGGAAGCGCUCACGUCUCUGACGACUUCUGUCCUUCAGCUGCGGGUCCGGACGCCUCGUCAGAGGCACGGGGAACACCCCAGUUUGACUCUAAAAAGCCAUUCCUGCUGUGGGACGGCUAGCAGUGGCCCAAUUGCAAGCCCGGAUGUAUUGACUAAACCCCACUCAACCCAGCUCGUGAGCCGGCUCACACCAUCUCCCGCCUCUCUGUGCUUGAACCCCAGACGCCCAGUGCUGCCGACGUUACGGAAGUGUGCAGAAGUGACCUCAGGGUGGAAGGAGAUGGGCCGACCGACAAAUGCAGCUAAAAUAGCUUCCUCCGCAAAUUUUGCCAAACGCACACAUGAGAACUUUGGGGAGGGCACCGUGAGGGCCUGUCGGGCCCUGGAAGCGGCUGGGCGGGGGCAGGGCUCUGGGGCUGAUGCGGUCCACGGUGCUCGGUGAGUCUGCCCUUGCUGGGGCCCUCCCUGCCAAGGGACAAAUGUCCAACAUCCAGCCCCACCGGGCACUGCCCUGGAGAAGCCUCUUUCCCGGGCCCCAGACCGACAGCCUGACUCAGCGGGGUUCGCCCCCCCCACCUGCCAGCCCCCGCCAGCCCCACCCUCCCCGGAGCUGCUGCCUCAGCCCGUGUCCCCCCUCCCCUGCCUCAGCCCGAGUCCUGCCCCACCCCUGCAGCCCGCAGGGCAGGGCCAGGGCCCUAAAUGCCCUUAGAUGAGGCCAACACAGAUGUAAAGUAGCUGCCAUUUGGAAGCGAGACUGGUUUUCAGGAUCAACGGCAUAUGUCAGCCUCGGAGGUUUACCCGACACUUGCCAUCCUUCCCGCUGCGGCCAGCCACAGCGACGUGCGGUGGGUGUGUAGCCAUCCUGAUCAGCUGGGGCCGCUGUGACUCAGACACUGAGGGGGCUGCAGGAGGGGUGCAGGUUCUCAGUUCUGGAGGCUGGGAUCUGGGGUCUGGGGUCUGGGCUUCCCCACAUUGGGUCCUGUGUCCUCACAGCAGAGAGAGAGAGACAGAGAGAGAGCGAGCACGACCACUCUGGGGCUUUCUUUUCUUAGAAGGAUUCUGAUCCCACCCUGGGGGCUGUGCCCACCGCUCCCAAAGGCCCCACCUCAUACACCGGCACACUGGGCUUAGGGCCACAGCAUGGGUUUGGGGCCACACAAUUCAGUGCACAGAACCAUUUCACAGAUUUGUCUUUUUUUUUUUAAAAUGUUU